rnacentral:rRNA from 1 species
GACGGGGGGGCAAGUGUUCUUCGGAAUGACUGGGCGUAAAGGGCACGUAGGCGGUGAAUCGGGUUGAAAGUGAAAGUCGCCAAAAAGUGGCGGAAUGCUCUCGAAACCAAUUCACUUGAGUGAGACAGAGGAGAGUGGAAUUCGUGUGUGAGGGGUGAAAUCCGUAGAUCUACGAAGGAACGCCAAAAGCGAAGGCAGCUCUCUGGGUCCCUACCGACGCUGGGUGCGAAGCUGGGGAGCGAA